ensembl:snoRNA
AGCCUGUGAUGAACUGCUUUGACUUCUGACACCUCGUAUGAAAACUGCGUCUGCAGUCUGAUUAUUUUGCAAGACUGAGGCUU